UACGGAGGGUGCAAGCGUUAAUCGGAAUUACUGGGCGUAAAGCGUGCGUAGGUGGUUCGUUAAGUCCGUUGUGAAAGCCCCGAGCUCAACUUGGGAAUUGCAGUGGAUACUGGCGAGCUGGAGUGCGGUAGAGGAAGGUGGAAUUCCCGGUGUAGCGGUGAAAUGCGUAGAGAUCGGGAGGAACACCAGUGGCGAAGGCGGCCUUCUGGACCAGCACUGACACUCAAGCAUGAAAGCGUGGGGAGCAAACAGG
rnacentral:rRNA from 1 species